CGGUGGAGCAUGUGGCUUAAUUCGAUGCAACGCGAAGAACCUUACCUGGUCUUGACAUCCCGGAGACCCUUAGGAACUAGGGGUGCUUCCAUCUGGAAGAAUCUGGAGACAGGUGCUGCAUGGCUGUCGUCAGCUCGUGUCGUGAGAUGUUGGGGUUAAGUCCCGCAACGAGCGCAACCCUUGCCUUUAGUUGCCAGCAGUUCGGCUGGGCACUCUAAAGGGACUGCCGGUGUUAAACCGGAGGAAGGUGGGGAUGACGUCAAGUCCUCAUGGCCUUUAUGACCAGGGCUACACACGUACUACAAUGGCCGAUACAAAGGGCAGCGACACUGCGAGGUGAAGCCAAUCCCGUAAAAUCGGUCUCAGUCCGGAUUGGAGUCUGCAACUCGACUCCAUGAAGUUGGAAUCGCUAGUAAUCGUGGAUCAGCAUGCCACGGUGAAUACGUUCCCGGGCCUU
rnacentral:rRNA from 1 species